GAUUUAAGCUAUUUAUUCAACAUCAAUUUUGGUAACAGCCAACAUUAAAACCUGAUACAGGCCUACUCUGUGCCGUCUUCCUUGCUAACAGUCCCCAUGAAUUUUCUCUGUGUUGUAGGUUAUGUUCAACACUGGGAAGCAGCCGAGCUUUCUGAUUCUGUCUGUUGUCCUUUAUUCCGUGUGAGGACUAAGUUUUAUUCCAGUUCACAUGGUUUCAGUGGCUGCUUUGGGAAAAUAGAUGUAUGCAAAAAGUACCUGCCUGUAUUUGCUUUUUCUCUGUGCCACACCCUCUGUAAGUCACAGGACAUAUACAGCUCUUAGGUAGUCGUAGUGCUUGGCUCUGUUCAAGAGUAUAUUCUGAAACAGGCUCCCAGGCCAAAACUGGGAAAUUACUUAAGAAGCUGAUAGGUUGGACAAUUGCAGAUUAUCAUGGUGACAAGACCAUAUUCUCAUGCUCUACACAAGUUUGUUGAGAAUUUAAAUUAUCUGAACUAGUCAUAAGUGAAUAAUUUCUAUAAAAAGUAUUCAGGAAAACAUGAUGGUAAAACAAAUUAUGGGAAAUUCAGAGGUGUUUUAUCCCUGAUUUAAUCACACUGAUGACUAGUCUUGAAUUCUUGGGUUAUCUGAAUUUAGUUUAUGUGUGUAUUAUAGAUACGUAUGUCAAUAUUAAUCCUAUAUUUUUAAAAAGGAAAAAGUUUUGUCAGAAAACACUUAAUAUUUUUGUAUGAGCCAGUGUUUUACUGUGUUGAAUUUCACACUGAUAAAUUGGGUAUUGGUUUGUGUGAAAAACCUAAAUGUCUGGGUUUUACCUUCCCUAGCAAAUGUUUCAUAGUAUAAUAAACUUAAUAAUCAGGUAGCCAUGUGCCCCUCCACCAUUUUGCUUGGAAAGAUGAGGAAAGGUGAACAGCAGAUUUCCACCUUUGCAACAUGACUUGUUUUAACAAUCAGAUCAGGCAUUUGCCUGGAAGACAUGAAGAAAGAGGUUAAUGACAGACUUGUGUCAAUAUGAAAAUUCUUUCAGUUCUUGACAGGAAGCGACAGCCCAAGCUUGCCUGGCUUCCCAGAUGUGAGCAAUGAAGCCAGGUUGCUUCAGAGUUCAGAAGCAUCUAAGGGGAUUUCAGGCACUGUUCUAGGCUUUGAGAAUCCAACCAUGAACAAAACACGAUAGGUCUUCCCAUGCGUUUACAUUCUAGUGGCAGAAGAAGGACCGUGAACAGUAAGUUCUAAGGAAAGUAGCAGUAUUUUUUUUUUUUUAAACCAUCUUGUGCCUAUUUGCUGGAUAGAGGAGAUAAUAACAGUGAGCAAAAUUUGAUUCCUGGCACUCACAGCUUCUAGUGUAGUGGGAAGGACUGUGUAGUCAGUGUUGUAGGGCAGAACAUGGGGAAUUUUUUAACCCAACCUCAAGAGGGCCCUCAAAAGGACAAAAAGUAUAUUUCUUUGCAAGUUAACUUCUCUGAACCUCUUUGGUAAAAUGAACAUAGUAAAAUUGUGAGGAUUAAGUGUGGAAGUACUUGGCGUGCUGCUGGGUAUAUAGUAGCAUUACAUUGAGCUCAUAGUGUUAAAAAUUAAGUGGCAAGUGGCAAGUCACCAACCAGAACAAGAAGGAAUAAACAGCUGCUAACAUAUGUAUGGCUCAUCAGAGUUUUCAAAGGCCUUUCAAGUAUAUUCUAUCAUCUGAGUCACACAAAAUCCUGGGGAGGUGGGUGUAAUGGAAAAUACCCUUUAGUUGGGUCUUCAUACCAGCAGGGCAUCUCCCCUGCUGUCAGAAGAGUGCAAAGCAAGACUGCAGACAGCUCAGUGGCUAGAGCUAAGGUACCUAAUGGAAGAGGCCGAAUCCUGGGUAAUCUUGGAACAGUGACCAAACCAAUCACUUGGGUCCUACACCAAAAGAAGUAAAAUGGUCCUGUCCCCAAUGUAUUCACAAUAUAAUUUAGAGUCCUUUUCCUUGGCUUUGGAAUUCAUAAUGUGAUUUCUUCACUUGUGGAUUUCCUUUCCUAAUAUGCUUUACUAAUUCCAGAAUUAAAAGUUUGCACUUCCUGAGCUUACCCUGGCCAGGUCCCAAGAGGAAGUGGCCAGCAGCCAUUAAGAAGCCAGGAGGAGAACUGGGCUGGGAUUACAAAUCACCUGGUGUGCUAACAAUCUGUACAUCAAUAAUUAUCAAGAGAAGGCUUCUAAUGGUUCUUGUCGUUGUGAUUCAUCUUUCUUUCCUUUCUCACUGCUUUAUUUUUUAUCCCUUUUAAGACCAAAAAAAUAGGCCUGGGUGCUUUUAUGUCAGGCCCUGUUUAUUUAUAUACUCUUCUCAAAAGGGGAGCUUUACUUUUGAUUAACAACCCUUCUUUUAAAUUCCAGGUACCAUCUUGUUUCUCAAAUGCUGAGAAUGAGCAAGAUCAGGCCUGCAGUAGGGGGUCAAGUGAGCUAGGCACUUGGAGAGGGUUCCUAAACUUCUGCCUGUGCCCUAGCCCCUCCCUCCCCUUCCCCAUUCCUACCCCCACAUGCUUCCUCAGCUGCCCAAAUGGGUAGACUGAACAGCUUUCCCGUUUCUCCUUUCAUCCCCUCCUCUUUCUCCCCUGCCAUAGGCUUGUCUUUUAACAGCCUCCCUACCUCUGUUCUCACCACCCCCCAUCUAACCUCAACACUGAUGCCAAAAUGAUUUUUUGGCAGUCUCUCAGCCGCUUUUAUAACUUCACAUAAAAGCAAUAAAGAUAAAAAUAAUAAAACUCAUCUAAUCAUGUCACUCCUCUGCCUAAUAUUCUGUAGUUUGAGGUUAAAGUCCAAUCUCAGUUUGACCCCUGCCCAGAGCCCUUCUCUGUCAGCUAUCAGCACCUGUGGACUGCUUCAGUCUUAUCUCCUGCCAGUCCUCAGCCGCACCCUGCUCUUGAGCCAGCUGAAUUUCUUAGUAAUGCUGGCUCUAGUUCCACACCUCCCUGCCUUCCUACAUGCUGACUUGUGCCUGGAAACCCCUCCCUCCUCUCUCUGCACCAACUCCUAUUCAUCCUUUGCAAUUUGGUUCAUGUCUUUUAAAGGAGGCCAUGCUGAUUCCCCAAUUUGUUUUCAAUUGCCCUUAGGUCUACAGCACCGAGAAUGAUUCUGUGUCAAGUCCCAGGUCUCUGGGUACAAAUUCCAGUUACCUGAUAGGAGAUGAUAAACUCAGCACGUCGGCAGGAACACUCAAUCUGAGUGCCUGCCAUACUCUCCCUGUGAAUUCUGGUAUAUACCGUCCGUCAGGCUCCGGGCUCCAUUCAACCCUGGGAUACCGACAAGACCAAAGCACUAGUUCUGCGUUCCAUCUGCCAUGAGGCCCAGAUGGAAGGAGAGAUCCAUCUGCACAUUCACAGAUAGGACUUGCUGUCUGCCAUUCAAUAGAUUCACUCCUUGGAACCAAGGCAUUUUCCCAGAGGCUGUUAACAGGAAGAUAUUAGCCCAUUAUUGCCUGGGUAAUAUAUUAACUCCUUACCAAUGCAGUAGCAUGGUAGUGCAGGCAAAUUAUAGGAUUGCUUUUGUCUGAGCCCAGAAGGGAGGCCUGCUUUUUAGAAAGGUGAGAGGCCUGGAGCCACCCUCUGGGGGUCCGGGCACUGGAAAACCAUGAUAGGAACAGCGUUUACUAUUGAUGGAAUGAACGAACACACUAUGUUUCUAAUUUCUCAAUCUCCAUAAUUCUGUAAGGUGAUUAUUGUUCCCAUUUUGCAGAUGAUGAAACUAAGUUUCAGUUAGGUUCUGAAAUUUGCUUAUUUAGGGUCACAUGGCUAACUAGGUCGGUGAACUAGAAUUUUAACCAACCCAAACCUGAUGCCAAUGCCUUUUUCUAAAUGACUACAUGGUAAUUAAGCCUUGCUCCCUGGACCCCUUGUGCGCUGCUAGGUCCUGCUGCUCCCUAGAGUAGUCAUAUCCCAGAAGGAGGUUAUUCUCUCAAAUCUUUCUCAUGGUUGUUUGGCUUGGCCUGGGAAUGGAAGCUCCUGGAAGAGACGAAGUGUACAGAACCAAGGAA